rnacentral:snRNA from 1 species
GUGUUCACUUUGGUAGCACACAUAACAAAACUGGAGCAAUACAGAGAUUGACACAACCCCUGCACAAAGAUGACAUACAAAUUCAUGAAGUAUUCCGUAUUUUU